UAAUACGGAGGGAGCUAGCGUUGUUCGGAAUUACUGGGCGUAAAGCGCACGUAGGCGGCUUUGUAAGUUAGAGGUGAAAGCCCGGGGCUCAACCCCGGAAUUGCCUUUAAAACUGCAUCGCUUGAAUCCAGGAGAGGUGAGUGGAAUUCCGAGUGUAGAGGUGAAAUUCGUAGAUAUUCGGAAGAACACCAGUGGCGAAGGCGGCUCACUGGACUGGUAUUGACGCUGAGGUGCGAAAGCGUGGGGAGCAAACAGG
rnacentral:rRNA from 1 species